rnacentral:tRNA from 1 species
GGGAAGGUGGCUCAGUGGUAGAGUGCAUGCCUUGCAAGCAUGAGGCCCAGGCCCAGAGUUCAGGCCCCAUGACCAAACCCCCCCCCCCA